UUAAAGAGUUCUAUAACUCCCAAACCCAUGUGAACAUACCUAACGUUGCCUCGGCAGGUCGCACCUACCUUGUAGCACCCUACCCUGUAGGGCCUACCCGGGAGAUGCGGGUAAGCCUGCCGGCGGCCCACCAAACUCUGUUUAAUAUUGAAUUCUGAACAUAUAACUAAAUAAGUUAAAACUUUCAACAACGGAUCUCUUGGUUCUGGCAUCGAUGAAGAACGCAGCGAAAUGCGAUAAGUAAUGUGAAUUGCAGAAUUCAGUGAAUCAUCGAAUCUUUGAACGCAUAUUGCGCCCAUUAGUAUUCUAGUGGGCAGGACCGUUCGAGCGUCAUUUCGACCCUUAAGCCUUAGUUGCUUAGUGUUGGGAGCCUACGGCAACGUAGCUCCUCAAAGUUAGUGGCGGAGUUGGUUCACACUCUAGACGUAGUAAUUUUUUAUCUCGCCUAUUAGUUGGACUGAUCCCCUGCCGUAAAACCCCCAACUUAUCAAGGUUGACCUCGAAUCGGUUCAGACAAACUCGCUAAAUUGAAGCAUCUUAGUCAGCGAAGGAAAAGAAACCAACAGGGAUUGCCCU
rnacentral:rRNA from 1 species